rnacentral:lncRNA from 1 species
UGCUGUGGGGUGCUUGUUUGGUAAUACACUGUUAAAGUAACAACAAAGCAGUUUUAGUAAUGCUAUGAACCAAUCUGUAUGAAGCUGACCCAGACAAAACUCUAUGACUCACAUUCUACGAAUCAAUGGCUUAGCGACCACACCCAACAAAGGCAACUGACUCCUUAUAUCCUUUAUUCUCUUCCCCCUUUUUUCAAAUGAUCUUUUUCUUUAUUACCCUCUUCACUUCUCACUUUCACACCAUCUGCAUGCUAUUUGACUUCGAUAUUAUUGUAACUUUUCGAUUGUUUUGUUUGCUCCAUUUAGGAGGAGAUAGAGAACCUCAGAUCUAUUGGAACAAUAAUUUAGCGAAUCGUUUGUUGUUCGAAAGUGUCAUUUGUAAGUGAGCAUGGAGUGACAUUCUCCAGAAGGUCCUCACUUUAUUUCCAAACAUUCUUUGUUUUUUUUCCUUCUUAAAAACGAUCAGUUACAAGCACCAAUGAGCAGACCUAUGCAAUAAAAUCAACAAAACAACAGUCUUAAAUGUGAGGAGUGGUUUUGGCCGUUUAUUGUCAUCUUCAGCUCAUACAUACAACAAAAGAAUAAGAAUUCAAAUUUUACAGGAUUAUUCUAGAACAUUGAGUUUAAAAGCUAACUGAGGAACAUAAACUGAACAACAUAUAAAAUAUUGAUAAAACUAUAUAAAUACCAAAAAUAGAAAUAUAACAUGAGCAAAGGAAAAAUAAAAGUUAAAAAUAUAAAAUAAAAUAAGAAUGCAGCUAAAAUAGAAAAAAUUCUGUUUAUUUAAACAAUCACUGGGUGUUGGUGUCACACUGUUUCAAAAAGUACUUCCAGGGCUUCUAUAUGGAAUCCAGUUGCCUGUCAUUCAUGACUGAGGCCCCCUGUCUGUCUUUGCAAAUUUGUAUAGGCUCUGCAAUGGUAACUUCUCUACAUUCGACAGCUGCUUGAUUACCCUGAAGUCUUUCCAUUUAAUGUCUAAAUUAGUCUCAUAUGCUCUUUUUGCAAGUGCUGUCUUCAUGGUGGCACUUUUAAUGUCCCUUUCAUGUUCUAACAACUUGUCCUUCAGGUUACUUGUCAUAGUAUCUAUGUAUACCUGAUUAGCUCCAUGUUCUUUGUUCCAGAGGGGGAUCUGGUAAAUCCCCGUCUUUUUGUACUCUCCCCUUACAUCCUUGUUGUUUCUCAAAGCAUUGAACACCAUGGGGGGCCUCCUGUAAGCAUGCUUGCUCUUACUCCUGGUAAUUACGUUCCUUACUGUCGCGAAAUCCCUUAUUACCUCUGGUACUAUGGUAUACUUGGUGCGAUGUUCUUGGACUUGUCCUGUCACUCUGCCUAUUGUAGUGUCCCUGUUCAUGGUCCUCCUUCUUUUUUCCAGUAUUUCUUUAAGCAAUUUAUCCACCACCUUGCAUUUGUAACCGUAUCUCACAGCUAUGCUUCUUAUUUGGUCUAAUUCCCUUUCAAAACUUGCUUGCUGCAGUGCGUGAUGGCUCUCUUCAAAAGGGAUUUCAAUGUCACUUUUUUAUGUUGCCACUAAUCUUCUGACCAUCUUGGUGUUAUGAUGAUUGUGCUUGCUGGCUUCCUGUAUACUUCCGUCACAAACAAGCGCUCUUUGAGUGUAGCUCUACAUUGAGGAAAUAGACAUUGUAACGGCUCUCUUGCUCAAGUUUCAACUUCAAUCCAUAACUCUGUAGUGUGAAUUCUUUCUCCAGGAGUUUAACCUGCUUAUCUUGAAAAUGUCAUCAACGUACCUAAGGUACAGGCGUGCUUCUUAUAUUAGUGCGCUUAGGAUGAUUUGCUCAAGAUUUCUUAAAACCAGUUCUGCAAGCACCCCUGCUAGGGGGCUCCCUAUGGGGACUCCUUUCGUCUGCCUGGAAAUUUUAUAAAGAAAGGAGUUCCUUCCGCAUGGAGCAGUAAUUUACAUCAAACUUAUUCUUUGUUUUACAAAUUUUUGACUCUUCUUAUCUUUUCUUUCAAUUUACAUUUAAAUAUUCUUAAUAUUAUAUUUAUUUGUUUCUAAUGGUCCCUCUGGACCUCACAAAAAUAAUAUUGUAUUGCAUUUUAUGAGUAUACAUCAGAGCAUCAAUUAUCUGAAUAUCAAUUAUUUGAACCACUGCCACUCAAAAAAAAUUAAAUCUCCCUUUAAUCAUCCAAUAAUAUAUCUUCCUUUAAUUGCUGGUUGUUGUGUUAAAGUAUUAGUCUUGCUAUUUAAUGCAUUCAUUUCUGAUUAUUUAUGUGCAGAUAUAUGCAAUAAACAUAGAAUUGGUCCUAAUUUGUCAUUACUGGAAUUAAUAGUUGGUUUUAACUAUGGGUUAUUAUUUAAGAACUAUAGAUAGUCAGAAUGGUCAUAAGUUGGAAAUGUUGGAAAUUUCCAAAAUUUAUUGAUUGCCCUCUGCC